GUUGGAGAUGAGGUGGAGGUGAGAACUACCAGUAUAACUGAUGAUUUAAGGAUGACUCAGGUCUGGUAGUUGUAAUUUACCAGUUUUUAUGUCCAUUGUCUCACAGAUUUUCUCCAGGCUCAGUGAUAAGGAACCAUUUGGCUGGUGGCAGGCACGGAUCAAAAUGAUUAUAGGAGAGGUAAUUCAGAUGUUGCUGCAGAAUCACAAGUCCUUACUCAGAAGCUGGAGUGGAUUAUUUAAAAAAAAAAGCACAAAAAAUAAUUCAGCUUGACUGCUAAUUAAUCAUUUUCAAGGGGUUGGUAAUAAAAAAGCUUCCUUUCUUACACUUUUCCCAGUGGUACCUGAUUGAAUACAAGGAUGGAUUCCAGGAGUUCGUCAAAUCAGGGUCCAUCAGGAAUCAGAAUAAGAACACUUUCUGCACCAUAGAAAUGCUCGUGCAGAUCUUCUGGUCAGAAGAACCAACAGUCAGACUGCAGAAGGAGCAGUGCCAUGCACAACCAGAGACCGAGGAUAAGGGCUGUCAGACUGAAGCCGAUGACGGUCACCCAACGGAAUGUGCUGGUCCCAGCGAGCAAAGGGCCCACGCGACAUUAAACAGCAGCUUGCAACACCAGAACUGUCCGAGCAGUGAGGCCCACGGCGGUCAGCCACCAGACUCCGGCGAACACACUGAAGAACUGUGGCAAUCCGACGAAGACCAGCUGGUCUGGACUCUGAAAUUUGAUCCCAAGCCUCCAAAGGCCAGCAAAUCCGCCCGUCGUCGUCGUCGCAACGGCCAGCGUCAACUGCGUGAUUACACAAUGGAUGAUGAGUACGAUGACGAAGAAAUUAGGAUGACCCCACAGGGACUCUGCCUAUUCAGAUUGUUUGGCAGCCGAUGGGUGGCAAUGGCCUAAUCAGUUUUUGUUUUUGAAAUAUUUCCUUUUUAAUGAUCCAUUUUUUUCGUGAACUUCAUGAAUAUUUGUGAUAUUUGUGAGUAAAAUCUGAAUAUACGCCGGUGUUUUGACACGAUUUGAGUCAAUUUGGAGAAAUUCAAAUGCAAUAAAAGCCAAACCUUAAUUCUUUUAACCCCAAUUCUUAGAUCUCGAACAUUAUAUUCUUAUUAUAUUAAAGAUAAACCUUUGACAUAGAAUAUUUAAGCGCAAACUGACAAACAGAAGAUAAGUGCCAUGCCAGUAAAUGACCGCACGGGAGCGCAUUUUCUCCAGAAUUAAUGGCACUGUUUGUCAAAGGGAGCCCUGAGAAAUAUCAAAAUGUCUUAGUCUUAAUUUGUUUCUUUCAGUUCAAUUCAUUUCAUUCAACAAAAUAAUCUUUGUCUUAUUAAAAACAAAAAAUAAUCAUAGUACAUUGAGAUCUUUUGUCCCCCAGAAUAAAAGACAAUAAAAUACUGCAAACACUUUCAGU
rnacentral:lncRNA from 1 species